rnacentral:lncRNA from 1 species
UCCUGCCUUUCACCUCCUUCUGACUCAUCUCUGAAUUGUUUCUUGUGAUUGUGUCAAGAAUCUGGAAACUAGCUGGGCUGGGGUCUCACUGGCAUGCAGAGACUCUCCUGGGAUCACACUGGCAUCCACAGAGCCUCUUGAGCCCUCCAGCAACAAGUUGAUCUGGAUAUUGCCACGGUUUCUACGGGACUGAACAAAGGGGGACCCACACAGGAAUGAAAACUUAAAACAAAACAGCCACUAAGGAAGGCGCAGAGGGACUUCCUUUCGGCCCGAAACAGUAUCUGUGCUGCCAAAGUUGUUUUCCUUGUGACUCAAAUGAGGAAGAAUAAACUUGGUUUAGGACUAUUCAAUGCCAGUGUUUUCAGAUGGCUCCACCAGCAGAGAACAGAGAAGGGGAGAAGAGGAAAAGCAGCUGGACGUCGGGGACUGCGGUUUGACGUCGGAGAGAAGCAGCUUGACUUCAGAGGGACAGCUUGACCGCUUUGCUUUGGAGAGGAGUCUGGCUGGGGAUGGCUGGACUCCAGGGGAAGAUCGUCUUCCUGUUCCAUCCCUUUUCCAGCUCCCCUCCCACUGAGAGCCACUUUCAUUGGCAAUAAAAUCCUCCAUAUUCACCACCCUUCAAUUCGUUCAUGCGACCUGAUUUUUCCUGGAUGCCAAACAAGAGCCCAGGUGCCACAGGUGUGGAUACUAAAGGCUGUCACACUGACCCUUUGCCCUUGCUGGCAGAGAGCAACCACUUCAUGCAAAAAGGCAGAGGGCCCACUGAGGUAUUUAACACUUAAGCUGUCCGUGGACAGCCAAGCUAAAAGAACACUGUAACACACUCCCUCUGGGGCUUCUGGGGUCCCUGGUAUUCCUGACGAGACACUGUCAUGGGGCCUGCAGGGAGUUUUGCUCCUGCCAACACCCAAAAGCACUCUUUCUGGCUCCUGCACCCGCUCACCUGCGUGCUUCCCCUUCCCUCAAGGGCUUGAGAGCUGCAGGCUGAGUAAGUAGGCACCCUUGUCACGAGGUCCAAAAAGGGAUCAAGGAAAAUUUCCUGUUUCAGUGCUUUGGCAAAAACUUGAGUCAAUGAUACAGAAAAGUUAUGAGAGUUGAAAUCCUUGUCUAGUUCCCACUCAUAAUUCACUGAUUUUUAUUUCUGUAGUUUAUAAUCUGAGGUUAAUUCUAUCCAAUAAUAUUUUCAUUGUAGUAAUUGGGUAAUUUUUAUAUUUAGAUAUUGCUUUUGGUUUCUUUUUUGUAACGUCCAGUUCUCCAUUUUUUUGGUACAUAUAAAUAAAUAUAAUAACUCUUUUAAUGUUAUUAUUUGAUAAUUUAAUCAUCUCUGUCAAUUCUAUGUUUCUAUUGACUAUUUCCCCCCCAAUCGUAAGUCUAAUUUUCUUGUUUGUAUGUGCAGUAGUUAAAAAAUUCAAAUUAAAAAUAUUGCAAAUUUCUGGCCAGGUGUGGUGGCUCAUGCUUGUAACCCCAGCAUUUUGGGAGGUGGAGGCAGGCAAAUCACUUGAGGUCUGGAGUUCUCCAGCCUGGCCAACAAGGUGAAACCUGUCUCUACUAAAAAUACAAUUAG